rnacentral:lncRNA from 1 species
CUCAAAGAGAAGUGUGCCACAGACUUAAGACUCGGUUACCUCUCCCCCAACAGCUGGCAGCACCCACACCUCACUGGGCUGCUGGAGCACAUUCAGGACAUUCAGAUGGAGAUCCAACACUAAGCUUCUCAGGGCAAAGACUGAAAGAAACAUGGCAAUAGAGGCCGGGCUGCACAUGAGCAGGGUGAGGAUGUCAGCUGCCAGUCACACCAUGCCUCAAAUGGAGGCAGAACAUACCGUCUUCUGGCUGUGAAGAAACCUAAGAGAUGAAGCUGUUGCUGAGGUGAGGAAUUAACUUCUUGAAGUUUCCUGCCUUCCACCAAAGACUCAUUUCACGUUGGACAAAGUCCCUC